UACGAAGGGGGCUAGCGUUGUUCGGAAUCACUGGGCGUAAAGGGCGCGUAGGCGGCUUUUCAAGUCGGGGGUGAAAGCCUGUGGCUCAACCACAGAAUUGCCUUCGAUACUGUUAGGCUUGAGACCGGAAGAGGUGAGUGGAACUGCGAGUGUAGAGGUGAAAUUCGUAGAUAUUAGGAAGAACACCAGUGGCGAAGGCGGCUCACUGGCCCGGUACUGACGCUGAGGCGCGAAAGCGUGGGGAGCAAACAGG
rnacentral:rRNA from 1 species